GAUCUGGUUCAGGACGAACGCUGGCGCGGCGCUAACACAUGCAAGUCGAACGAAGCUAAGAUUGCGGAAGUUUCGGAUGGAGCGAACUUAGCUAGUGGCGAACGGGUGAGUAACACGUGAGUAACCUGCCCUUCAGUGGGGGACAACAGUUGGAAACGACUGCUAAUACCGCAUAAGACCACAGUGCCACAUGGCACAGUGAUCAAAGGAUUAAUUUUCGCUGAAGGAUGGACUCGCGUCUGAUUAGCUAGAUGGUGAGGUAACGGCCCACCAUGGCAACGAUCAGUAGCCGGACUGAGAGGUUGAUCGGCCACAUUGGGACUGAGACACGGCCCAGACUCCUACGGGAGGCAGCAGUGGGGAUAUUGCACAAUGGAGGAAACUCUGAUGCAGCGACGCCGCGUGAGGGAAGAAGGUUUUCGGAUUGUAAACCUCUGUCUUCGGGGACGAAACAAAUGACGGUACUCGAGGAGGAAGCCACGGCUAACUACGUGCCAGCCGCUGC
rnacentral:rRNA from 1 species